CAUUAAGGAAGGCAAGUUAAGUACGCAACGUCCUGUUGCAACACUUGCACUUGCACGUCCUGUGCU
rnacentral:sRNA from 1 species